rnacentral:lncRNA from 1 species
GUCUGCUGCUCUGCAGGAUGUUUCAAGGAUGGGGUCCAACAACGCAGCAAGAGAGGCAAUCCGUGUGCAGGAGAUCUACACCUCCUACUUCUUCAAAGAGGGUGCUGUUCCCUGGCAACACCAUAGACGUCACUAUGCACAACCAAAGGCUCUUUUAAGAGCCAUUCACAUUGCAAUAAGAGUAUUCUUCCAUUUACUGAGCUAUGUCAACUGCAGUUAUUCAAUUCACAGUUUCUCUCCCUUUGAUUUCUACUUCUCAGGUGAGGGUGCUGUUUAGUAAAGCAGGUUCAGGUGUAUAACUGUGGCUCCUUCCACCUUCAAAGAAUAGGCAAGAGGGCCAACCAUGGAGAAUAGUUAUAUCAGCUGUGUCGACGAACCCCUCCUGCAUCUGAACUGGCUACAUAGAGGGCACAGCAUGAACAGAGGUAUGUUUUGAUGUGAGAGGAUGCCAACCCCCAGUCCCAUCAUCACCACCUCACCUGCUUUUAAGAACCUUUGGGUCGACUAGAGACACUAUUAUGUAAUUGUGAUGAACUGAGAGAAUAUUUAUGUAGCACUGUGAUUCAUUAAUCAUGUGCU